AGUGGCGAACGGGUGAGUAACACGUGGGCAACCUGCCCAAAAGAGGGGGAUAACACUUGGAAACAGGUGCUAAUACCGCAUAACCAUAGUUACCGCAUGGUAACUAUGUAAAAGGUGGCUAUGCUACCGCUUUUGGAUGGGCCCGCGGCGCAUUAGCUAGUUGGUGGGGUAAAGGCUUACCAAGGUAAUGAUGCGUAGCCGAACUGAGAGGUUGAUCGGCCACAUUGGGACUGAGACACGGCCCAAACUCCUACGGGAGGCAGCAG
rnacentral:rRNA from 1 species